rnacentral:rRNA from 1 species
GCUAGUAAUCGCGGAUCAGAAUGCCGCGGUGAAUACGUUCCCGGGUCUUGUACACACCGCCCGUCACACCAUGGGAGUCGGAAAUGCCCGAAGUCUGUGACCCAACCUUAGGGAGGGAGCAGCCGAAGGCAGGUCGGAUGACUGGGUGAAGUCGUAACAAGGUAUC